rnacentral:lncRNA from 1 species
AUUUUUGGAGUUUUGAGUAUAUUUUAACUAUUUAAAAUAUUUACGUUUGAUUAUUUGUAUAUAUUUUCAAGCAUUUAAGCGAAAUUAAAAGUAUCAUAUAUAUUCUGGAUGUUCUUAAAAAUUAUUAAUAUAUAUAUAAGUAUAUAAAUCUAUUUUGGAUACCCAAAAUGCUUCAGUUCGGAUCGGAUUAGAUUUCAGUUCUUCAGAUACCAAAAUUUUGAAUAAUUCAGAUAUUUAAUCAAUUCCGGUUCGAAUUUAGUACUACUUAUUCGGAUUGGGAUGGGUUCAAUUCUUCGAAUUCGAGUUUUUUGCCCAACCUUAAAUAGUGACAUAAAAAUCAAAUAGCAUCAUAUUUUUUUUAUAAAUAAAAAUCAAAUAGCAUCUAGUUAUUAUUAACAUUAAUGACAAUGUGUUGUUUGAAUUUCUCGGUAGCCUUAUCCUCCGCAAAGCUGCUACUUUCAAAAUUUCCUCUUCUGUCUCCAGCCUUCAUAUCCCUUUGAAAAUCCAACUUCUCACUUAAUGCUAAAAUUUCAACGACUCAUGCUGAAAACAUUGUCAUCUUCUGGAACAAUCCUGAUAGGUUGGAACUUUGGUAUGUUGUUAUUUCCUUGAAAUCAUGGAAGAGACUACGCGAGUUUAAGGGCAAGAUUGAU